rnacentral:lncRNA from 1 species
GGCAGAGUAAGACCAGGUGCCAAUCCCCGAGGUGUGUUUCUGCUGCUCUUAUACACCGAGGCAGACCCAUCAGCUUUUGAGUGUUAAUUACCUCUUCCUGCUGUUGUCAUCUGUACUUGGGAGUACGAGGCAGAAAUAAGCUAUCAUCUUCUGCAGAAGACAAUUACUGAACUGAUUUUCCAGAGUUGGAAUUAACCUUCUGUGGCCUAAUCACCUUCAUUUCUACUUGAAUCCCCGGAAUAGUGAAAACAAUGACCAUUGCGUGCUGAGUACCUGCUCUGUCCUGGCAUCUUACAACUCUGUUCCAAAGUCUGUGCUGCUUCCAUAGGACUGUUCUCACUUCUUUCCAUUUUGCAAGUUCUCAGCCUGGCGGCAGUCUCCCUGCCCGAGUGGAUGGUGCCACCACCUCUUACUGAAGGAGCGGUUUCUGAGGGAGAGUGCCUGUGCUGUGCAGCUGUCUCCCGCGAGGCGCCCUUUGACAAGUGUGUCUUCUGUCUCCCCUCAAUGACACUGUGGCUUCAUGGAGUCUCAUUGCAUGCCCAGCACUUAGCACAGGGCAUCCCUGCAUGGCUGCGUUGUUCCCUGCAUGGCUGCAUUUAGGCUUUCCUUUUCCUGCAAGUGCUGCCUCGUCUUUCCUUUCUCUCGUCUCAGCAGCAGGAAGAGCAAGUUCUUUCUCUGCCUCCCCGCUGCCUGGCUCCUUCAGCUAUCACCAGCCAUCCCCUCUACCCAGCCCUCACUCUGGUGCCACAAUUGCUACUUUCCUGGCUUCUUCACGGGGACCUGACAUACC